CCUGAAAGCUUUUGAGCUAUCUUUGUAUAGGGUUAAUGUUUCAAAAUUAAAGGAAAUACAAAGAUAGAAAUGACAUGUUUUUCGCAAAAGCUGAUAGCUGGUUAAGAAAAAAAUACAUUUACGUGUAGAUUUAAAAGUUACUGUUUUUAAAAGAAAUAAAGGUAAUUUUAAGUUUAAGUUAUAAAGGGAUGAGCUUUUAUAAUAAUAAGAAAAUUUAGGCUUUUUGUAUAGUUGAAAUUGCUAAUCAGUAAUAUGUUUUCGUAAAAAUAAGUUGAAAUUUGUGUUUUUAUUUUUAUUUCUUUUUCUUUAAAAAUUUUUUUUAGAGCGAUAAGUAUAAGAUUAGUAUUAAUGUUUUAUUAUUCAAAAAAAAAAAGAAAUUGAAUUAAAAUAGUUUUGUAAAAUUGAUUUAUUUUUUAAGAAUUCGGCAAAUAUUUUUUACGCCUGUUUAACAAAAACAUGGCCUUUUGAAAAUUUAUAUAAAAGGUUGGGCCUGCCCGGUGAUCUGAAAUGGUUUAACGGCUGCGAUUGAAACCGUACUAAGGUAGCAUAAUAAUUUGCCCUUUAAUUGGGGGAGAGAAUGAAUGGUUUGACGGUAAAAAAGCUGUUUUAAAAAUAAUUAAAGAAGUUAACUUUUAAGUGAAAAGGCUUAAGUUUUUAUAAAAGACGAGAAGACCCCGUCGAGCUUAAUUACGAUAGCUUUAUUUAAAAGAUAUCUAAAAUUUUAUUGGGGCAAUAGAAAAUGAAAAGAAUCAUUUUUUUAUAGAAUAAGGAUCCAGUUUUGACUGAAAAAAGCAAAAGCUACCGCGGGGAUAACAGGGUAAUUUUUUCUGAGAGUUCAUAUUUAAGAGAAAGUUUGCUACCUCGAUGUUGGAUUAAAAUUUCUUUAUGCUUGCAGCAGGUAUAAUAGUAGGACUGUUCGUCCUUUAAAAUUUUACAUGAUCUGAGUUCAGACCGGUGUAAACUAGGUCGGUUUCUAUCUUUAUUUUAAAAAACUUUUGUACGAAAGGAUCAAGUUUU
rnacentral:rRNA from 1 species